rnacentral:rRNA from 1 species
UCAUACCUAUUCGAAGGGAUAGGGUCGGUUCGGCCGGGUUUCACACAGGUGUUGCAUGGCUGUCGUCAGCUCGUGUCGUGAGAUGUUGGGUUAAGUCCCGCAACGAGCGCAACCCUCAUCCUUAGUUACCAUCAGGUAAUGCUGGGGACUUUAAGGAAACUGCCAGUGAUAAACUGGAGGAAGGUGGGGAUGAUGUCAAGUCAUCAUGGCCCUUAUGGAGUGGGCUACACACGUGCUACAAUGGUGGCUACAAUGGGCUGCAAAGUCGCGAGGCUAAGCUAAUCCCUUAAAAGCCAUCUCAGUUCGGAUUGUACUCUGCAACUCGAGUGCAUGAAGUUGGAAUCGCUAGUAAUCGUGG